rnacentral:rRNA from 1 species
UAGGGAAUCUUCCGCAAUGGACGCAAGUCUGACGGAGCAACGCCGCGUGAGUGAAGAAGGAUUUCGGUUCGUAAAACUCUGUUGUUAGAGAAGAACAGCGCAUAGAGUAACUGUUAUGCGUGUGACGGUAUCUAACCAGAAAGCCACGGCUAACUACGUGCCAGCAGCCGCGGUAAUACGUAGGUGGCAAGCGUUGUCCGGAUUUAUUGGGCGUAAAGCGAGCGCAGGCGGUCAAUUAAGUCUGAUGUGAAAGCCCCCGGCUCAACCGGGGAGGGUCAUUGGAAACUGGUUGACUUGAGUGCAGAAGAGGAGAGUGGAAUUCCAUGUGUAGCGGUGAAAUGCGUAUAUAUAUGGAGGAACACCAGUGGCGAAGGCGACUCUCUGGUCUGUAACUGACGCUGAGGCUCGAAAGCGUGGGUAGCAAACAGG